rnacentral:rRNA from 1 species
UACAGAGGGUGCGAGCGUUAAUCGGAAUUAUGGGGCGUAAGGCGUGGGUAGACGGUUAGGUAAGUCGGGGGGGAAAGCCCCGGGCUCAACCUGGGAAUUGCAUUCGAGACUGCGCAGCUAGGGUGCGGAAGAGGGAAGCGGAAUUUCCGGUGUAGCGGUGAAAUGCGUAGAUAUCGGAAGGAACAUCAGUGGCGAAAGCGGCUUCCUGGUCCAGCACCGACGUUCAGGCACGAAAGCGUGGGGAGCAAACAGG